UCAACCGUGAGGUUGGGGCUAAAGGAAGUGUUAAACAAAAUCGUGGCUCAACGUACAGAAACUUGAUGCUAAGGCUUUUGAAAAAGGUGUAAAGUUAGAAAGUAAUAUUGAUGAAAAUAUUAAGUUUAAUUU
rfam:Mycoplasma sp. CAG:956 genomic scaffold, scf56